AGAGUUUGAUCCUGGCUCAGGACGAACGCUGGCGGCGUGCUUCAUACAUGCAAGUCGAGCGAGGACGGUCUGGAUCUUCGGAUUUGGACCGAGCCGAGCGGCGGACGGGUGAGUAACACGUGGGCAAUCUGCCCACCAGACGGGGAUAACUCCGGGAAACCGGGGCUAAUACCGGAUUCGGCCUGAGUCCCGCAUGGGAUUCAGGUCAAAGCAUGGCCUCUCGAUGAAGCUAUGGCUGGUGGAUGAGCCCGCGGCCCAUUAGCUGGUUGGCGGGGUAACGGCCCACCAAGGCGACGAUGGGUAGCCGGCCUGAGAGGGUGGUCGGCCACACUGGGACUGAGACACGGCCCAGACUCCUACGGGAGGCAGCAGUAGGGAAUUUUGGACAAUGGGCGAAAGCCUGAUCCAGCGACGCCGCGUGCGCGAUGAAGGCCUUCGGGUUGUAAAGCGCUGUCAUCCGGGACGAAGGUCCUCUUUCUGAACAAGGGAGAGGAGUGACGGUACCGGAGGAGGAAGCCCCGGCUAACUACGUGCCAGCAGCCGCGGUAAUACGUAGGGGGCGAGCGUUGUCCGGAAUGACUGGGCGUAAAGGGCGUCUAGGCGGCCCUGGUAAGUCCGAUGUGAAAGGGCCACGGCUUAACCGUGGAGGGUCAUUGGAAACUGUCAGGCUUGAGGGCAGUAGAGGGGUGCGGAAUUCCCGGUGUAGCGGUGAUAUGCGUAGAUAUCGGGAAGAACACCAGUGGCGAAAGCGGCACCCUGGGCUGGCCCUGACGCUAAAGCGCGAAAGCGUGGGGAGCGAACGGGAUUAGAUACCCCGGUAGUCCACGCCGUAAACGAUGGGUACUAGGUGUGGGAGGUAUCGACCCCUUCCGUGCCGGAGUUAACGCAAUAAGUACCCCGCCUGGGGAGUACGGCCGCAAGGCUGAAACUCAAAGGAAUUGACGGGGGCCCGCACAAGCAGUGGAGCAUGUGGUUUAAUUCGACGCAACGCGAAGAACCUUACCCGGGCUUGACAUCCUCCGCUAUCUCUAGAGAUAGGGAGUUCCUUCGGGACGGAGAGACAGGUGCUGCAUGGUUGUCGUCAGCUCGUGUCGUGAGAUGUUGGGUUAAGUCCCGCAACGAGCGCAACCCCUAUUCCGUGUUACCAGCAUUGAGUUGGGGACUCACGGGAGACUGCCGGUGACAAACCGGAGGAAGGUGGGGAUGACGUCAAAUCCUCAUGGCCCUUAUGUCCGGGGCUACACACGUGCUACAAUGGCCAACACAACGGGCGGCGACCUGGCGACAGGAAGCGAAUCCCUGAAAGUUGGUCCCAGUUCGGAUCGGAGGCUGCAACCCGCCUCCGUGAAGUCGGAAUUGCUAGUAAUCGCGGAUCAGAAUGCCGCGGUGAAUACGUUCCCGGGCCUUGUACACACCGCCCGUCACACCAUGGGAGCCGGCAACACCCGAAGCCGGUGGCCGAACCCGCAAGGGACGGAGCCGUCGAAGGUGGGGCUGGUGACUGGGGUGAAGUCGUAACAAGGUAACC
rnacentral:rRNA from 1 species